UUAGUAAUAAUAAUGGAUAGAAAAUAUAAUUAAAUAGAAAUUUAUGGUUAGAAGAAUUAAAAUUUAUGAUAGAGAAUUAUAGUAAUUUCAGAAGGAGGGGUUCAAAAUUUUGAGAACCUAUUUUAGAAUGUUUUGUAAAAUUAAAUCAAAUAUCAUGAAGGGAUAAGAAUUCCUAUGUUGCAAUGACUAAGGAAGAAUGGGAUUUGCAAGUGGUUUUGCAAGUUGUGAUUAAAAUAUUAAUAUAAUAAAAUAAAAUUAGAAAAAGAAAUAAUAUUAAAAAAAUUAUUAAAUAGUAAAAAAAAAUAUUGGCUAUAAAUAGUGAAGAAGGGGAGGGGAAUUCUAUAUCAAGAAGGAGAAAUAAGUUAGAAAAGGAGAGAAAAAAUUAGGAAGAAAGAAUUAGGAAAUUUAGUUGUAAGAAGAGUAGAGAUUCUUGAGGGUUUUCAGGAGAGCAACUCCUGAGUAGGAAACUAAGUCUGGAAAAGAGGUAAGGGGAGCUAACCUUUCUAAGUUUUUAUAUUAUAAUUUAAUAUUGUUGUAUAAUUAUUCAUGUCUUGAAAUUCUGUGUAAAUGUUGAACGUAUGUACUUAUAGUAUGUGCUUAUAGUAUUCAUGUCUUAUAUUCAAAACAACAACAUAUAUUAUUAACAUAGCAAUUUAUACUAUAAGCACUUAGGUUCAACAUUUACACAAAAUUUCAAGACAUGAAUAAAUAUACAACAAUAGUAAAUUAUAAUAUAAAAAAUCAGAAAUGUUGGCUACCCUUACCUCUUUUCAAGACUUAGUUUCUUAUAGAGGAGUUGUUCCCCCAAAAACCCUCAAGAACCUCUACUCUUCUUACAACUAAAUUUCCUAGUUCUUUCUUCCUAAUGUUCUCUCUCCUUUUUUAACUUAUUUCUCCUUCUUGGUGCAGAAUUUCCCUCCCCCCUCUUGGGUAUUUAAAGCCAAAAAAUUUUACUAUUUAAUAAAUUUUUAAUAUUAUUUAAUCUUUUAAUAUUAUUUUAUUAUAUUAAUAUUUUAAUCACAACUUGCAAAACCACUUGCAAAUCUGAUCCUUCCUUAAUCAUUGCAGCGUAGGAAUUUUUAUCCCUUCAUGAUAUUUGAUUUUUUUUACAAAACCUUCUAAAAUAAGUUUUCAAAAUUUUGAACCCCUU
rnacentral:lncRNA from 1 species